rnacentral:rRNA from 1 species
CCUACGGGAGGCUGCAGUGAGGAAUCUUGCGCAAUGGGGGCAACCCUGACGCAGCGACACAGCGUGGAGGAUGAAGGUCUUCGGAUUGUAAACUCCUUUUAUAUGGGACGAAUAGAUGACGGUACCAUAUGAAUAAGGACCUGCUAACUACGUGCCAGAAGCAUCGGUGAUGCGUAGGGUCCGAACGUUAUCCGGAUUUAUUGGGUGUAUAGAGAUGCGUAGGCGGUUUGAUAAGUCUUGAGUUAAAGACCUCGGCUCAACCGAGGAAAAGCUUUCGAAACUAUCAGACUUGAGGCAUAGAGGGGUGAACGGAACUCCGAGUGGAGUGGUGAAAUACGUUGAUAUUCGGAAGAACAUCAGUGGCGAAGGCGGUUCACUGGCUAUUGCCUGACGCUCAGGCUCGAAAGCGUGGGUAGCAAACCGGCUUAGAUACCCUAGUAGUC